AUUGAACGCUGGCGGCAUGCCUUACACAUGCAAGUCGAACGGCAGCAUGGAGAGCUUGCUCUCUGAUGGCGAGUGGCGAACGGGUGAGUAAUGCAUCGGAACGUACCGUGUAAUGGGGGAUAACGUAGCGAAAGUUACGCUAAUACCGCAUACGACCUGAGGGUGAAAGCAGGGGAUCGCAAGACCUUGCGUUAUACGAGCGGCCGAUGUAAGAUUAGCUAGUUGGUGAGGUAAAGGCUCACCAAGGCGACGAUCUGUAGCGGGUCUGAGAGGAUGAUCCGCCACACUGGGACUGAGACACGGCCCAGACUCCUACGGGAUGCAGCAGUGGGGAAUUUUGGACAAUGGGGGCAACCCUGAUCCAGCCAUGCCGCGUGAGUGAAGAAGGCCUUCGGGUUGUAAAGCUCUUUCGGCCGGGAAGAAAUCGCACAGGCUAAUACUCUGUGUGGAUGACGGUACCGGCAUAAGAAGCACCGGCUAACUACGUGCCAGCAGCCGCGGUAA
rnacentral:rRNA from 1 species